rnacentral:ncRNA from 1 species
ACCUCGAGAUGAGUUUACUUUUAAGGGCCGUCGGAGACUACGACGUUGAUAGGCUACAGGUGUAAGGAUAGUAAUAUCGAAGCCGAGUAGUACUAAUUGCCCGUAAGCUUUAAUUUU